ACUAGAACACACCCGCGAAAUCACGGGCAUUCAAAGCGGAGUUAAAAGUAUGUAAAGUGUUGUUAGAAGUUUUAUACCUCCUCCUUCAUUUCCAAAAUUCCCAAUUUUUGGUUCUCUAUCAAUUUCAAUAUGAACAUACAUUUAGUAUGUUAUGAACAUUUAAGUAAGGAGCCUGUAGUUCAGUGGUUGCCGUUUGUUUGUGUGUUACAUAUUUGUUUUUCGUUCCUUUUUUGUACAUAAAUAAGGCCGCUAGUUUUAUCGUUUGAAUUUUUUUUCAUCGUCAUUUCGGGGCCUUUUAAAGCUGAGUAUGCGGUAUGGGCUUUGCUCGUUGUUGAAGGCCGUACGCUGACCUAUAGUCGUAAAUUUCUGUGUCA
rnacentral:lncRNA from 1 species